GGAAGUAAAAGUCGUAACAAGGUUUCCGUAGGUGAACCUGCGGAAGGAUCAUUACUGAUUUAGCGAACCGAGCGUUAGCGAGGUUUUGCGAUCAACUUGUAUUUAAAACCCACUCUUCAAUGUAUAAAAUUUGUAUUAAUGAUAAAUUAAAAGAUCACUUUCAACAACGGAUCUCUUGGCUCUCGCAUCGAUGAAGAACGUAGCGAAGUGCGAUAAGUAAUGUGAAUUGCAGUAUUCCGUGAAUCAUCGAACCUUUGAACGCAUAUUGCACUUUCUGGUAUUCCGGAAAGUAUGCCUGUUUGAGGGUCAGUUAAAUAAAAAUCGGUGUUGUUGCCGCUUUCCGUGGUGACGCGUCGGAAUUGAGUCGUCCUCGGUUAAGUGACUUAAAAUUUUAUAUGAUUUUCGAACGUAUUUAAAUUUAUUUGAACGUUUGAUAUCGAAUGCUUAUUAGGUUCGGUCAUCCUCAUGACUCGCGCCUAUAAUUUUUCAUUAAAUGACCUCAAAUCAGGUAAGAAUACCCGCUGAACUUAAGCAUAUCAAUAAGCGGAGGA
rnacentral:rRNA from 1 species